AGUUGCAGGGUAUAGACCCGAAACCCGGUGAUCUAGCCAUGGGCAGGUUGAAGGUUGGGUAACACUAACUGGAGGACCGAACCGACUAAUGUUGAAAAAUUAGCGGAUGACUUGUGGCUGGGGGUGAAAGGCCAAUCAAACCGGGAGAUAGCUGGUUCUCCCCGAAAGCUAUUUAGGUAGCGCCUCGUGAAUUCAUCUCCGGGGGUAGAGCACUGUUUCGGCAAGGGGGUCAUCCCGACUUACCAACCCGAUGCAAACUGCGAAUACCGGAGAAUGUUAUCACGGGAGACACACGGCGGGUGCUAACGUCCGUCGUGAAGAGGGAAACAACCCAGACCGCCAGCUAAGGUCCCAAAGUCAUGGUUAAGUGGGAAACGAUGUGGGAAGGCCCAGACAGCCAGGAUGUUGGCUUAGAAGCAGCCAUCAUUUAAAGAAAGCGUAAUAGCUCACUGGUCGAGUCGGCCUGCGCGGAAGAUGUAACGGGGCUAAACCAUGCACCGAAGCUGCGGCAGCGACGCUUAUGCGUUGUUGGGUAGGGGAGCGUUCUGUAAGCCUGUGAAGGUGGCCUGUGAGGGUUGCUGGAGGUAUCAGAAGUGCGAAUGCUGACAUAAGUAACGAUAAAGCGGGUGAAAAGCCCGCUCGCCGGAAGACCAAGGGUUCCUGUCCAACGUUAAUCGGGGCAGGGUGAGUCGACCCCUAAGGCGAGGCCGAAAGGCGUAGUCGAUGGGAAACAGGUUAAUAUUCCUGUACUUGGUGUUACUGCGAAGGGGGGACGGAGAAGGCUAUGUUGGCCGGGCGACGGUUGUCCCGGUUUAAGCGUGUAGGCUGGUUUUCCAGGCAAAUCCGGAAAAUCAAGGCUGAGGCGUGAUGACGAGGCACUACGGUGCUGAAGCGACAAAUGCCCUGCUUCCAGGAAAAGCCUCUAAGCAUCAGGUAACAUUAAAUCGUACCCCAAACCGACACAGGUGGUCAGGUAGAGAAUACCAAGGCGCUUGAGAGAACUCGGGUGAAGGAACUAGGCAAAAUGGUGCCGUAACUUCGGGAGAAGGCACGCUGAUAUGUAGGUGAAGCGACUUGCUCGUGGAGCUGAAAUCAGUCGAAGAUACCAGCUGGCUGCAACUGUUUAUUAAAAACACAGCACUGUGCAAACACGAAAGUGGACGUAUACGGUGUGACGCCUGCCCGGUGCCGGAAGGUUAAUUGAUGGGGUUAGCGGUAACGCGAAGCUCUUGAUCGAAGCCCCGGUAAACGGCGGCCGUAACUAUAACGGUCCUAAGGUAGCGAAAUUCCUUGUCGGGUAAGUUCCGACCUGCACGAAUGGCGUAAUGAUGGCCAGGCUGUCUCCACCCGAGACUCAGUGAAAUUGAACUCGCUGUGAAGAUGCAGUGUACCCGCGGCAAGACGGAAAGACCCCGUGAACCUUUACUAUAGCUUGACACUGAACAUUGAGCCUUGAUGUGUAGGAUAGGUGGGAGGCUUUGAAGUGUGGACGCCAGUCUGCAUGGAGCCGACCUUGAAAUACCACCCUUUAAUGUUUGAUGUUCUAACGUGGGCCCCUUACCGGGGUUGCGGACAGUGUCUGGUGGGUAGUUUGACUGGGGCGGUCUCCUCCUAAAGAGUAACGGAGGAGCACGAAGGUUGGCUAAUCCUGGUCGGACAUCAGGAGGUUAGUGCAAUGGCAUAAGCCAGCUUGACUGCGAGCGUGACGGCGCGAGCAGGUGCGAAAGCAGGUCAUAGUGAUCCGGUGGUUCUGAAUGGAAGGGCCAUCGCUCAACGGAUAAAAGGUACUCCGGGGAUAACAGGCUGAUACCGCCCAAGAGUUCAUAUCGACGGCGGUGUUUGGCACCUCGAUGUCGGCUCAUCACAUCCUGGGGCUGAAGUAGGUCCCAAGGGUAUGGCUGUUCGCCAUUUAAAGUGGUACGCGAGCUGGGUUUAGAACGUCGUGAGACAGUUCGGUCCCUAUCUGCCGUGGGCGCUGGAGAACUGAGGGGGGCUGCUCCUAGUACGAGAGGACCGGAGUGGACGCAUCACUGGUGUUCGGGUUGUCAUGCCAAUGGCACUGCCCGGUAGCUAAAUGCGGAAGAGAUAAGUGCUGAAAGCAUCUAAGCACGAAACUUGCCCCGAGAUGAGUUCUCCCUGACUCCUUGAGAGUCCUGAAGGAACGUUGAAGACGACGACGUUGAUAGGCCGGGUGUGUAAGCGCAGCGAUGCGUUGAGCUAACCGGUACUAAUGAACCGUGAG
rnacentral:rRNA from 1 species